rnacentral:tRNA from 1 species
GCGCCCAUAGUUCAGAUGGAUAGAACACGGACCUUCUAAGUCCGGAGCCGCAGGUUCGACUCCUGCUGGGCGCG